AUUGAACGCUGGCGGCAUGCCUUACACAUGCAAGUCGAACGGCAGCACGGGAGCAAUCCUGGUGGCGAGUGGCGAACGGGUGAGUAAAGUAUCGGAACGUGCCCAGUCGUGGGGGAUAACGUAGCAAAAGUUACGCUAAUACCGCAUACGAUCUAUGGAUGAAAGCGGGGGAUCGCAAGACCUCGCGCGAGUGGAGCGGCCGAUAUCAGAUUAGGUAGUUGGUGGGGUAAAGGCUCACCAAGCCGACGAUCUGUAGCUGGUCUGAGAGGACGACCAGCCACACUGGGACUGAGACACGGCCCAGACUCCUACGGGAGGCAGCAGUGGGGAAUUUUGGACAAUGGGCGCAAGCCUGAUCCAGCCAUGCCGCGUGCAGGAUGAAGGCCUUCGGGUUGUAAACUGCUUUUGUACGGAACGAAAAGGUUUGACUUAAUACGUUGGACUCAUGACGGUACCGUAAGAAUAAGCACCGGCUAACUACGUGCCAGCCGCCGCUGUAA
rnacentral:rRNA from 1 species